GCAUUUCCUCUGCCUGCAUCUCUGCUGUGCUCCCUACCGCUGUCGGGCACACUCACACAGCCAAAGCAUGCACGCCUGUGCCCCUGGCUCACGUUCUGCAGCUCUGCACAGAGUGGGGCUAGGGCUCUUUGCCUAAGGGAUUACUUCCUUCACACUAGCUGGUCCCAGCACUACAGGCAGCAUCCUUGCAAGGGCUGAGUUGGAGGGGAAGUGGAGAAAACCCACACGUUUUUUCCAGUGCCACACCCCAGCUGCACGAGGCUGUCUUACUACACACAGUGCGACUAAACACGGGCUGCUGAAACAUGUGGGGGGACAAAACGUGUGACGUACCUGGCAAGAGAUCAGAACAAGGUAGAAGAAGAUCCUCGAAACCGCAGCCGUUCCUUGUCACUUUGCUCUGAUCUUCCGCGAGCAAAAGCUGCACCAAGGGAGCAGGCGGAGGGUGGGCAGGGGAGGGAGAAAGAGCAGGUCAGUGAGCUUGCACAAUUGAGCAAAGGGAAGAACCAGGGAAGAACCCUGGCACAAAUGCCACCUUGAUGGAUGGCUUUGGAAUGGAUGGCCCGGGGGAAAAUGGCCUCUGACGGUCAAGACUAAACAAUAUGAUCCUAGGAGCUCUGCCAGCCAGCAGUCCUCAAGGCCUCGCGGCCCACUCGUCUAUCCCGCACCGUCUCAGCUUACCUACAAGGCGCUGCGCAAGACGGAUGAAGACAAACAGACUCAGUCAAUGCACAAGUGCAACAAGACACGUACUCACGCCGAGCUCAAGCGCUCCAAUGAAGGGAUGCAGCACGCACUGCUCCUCCCCUCAUUCUAGCCGCUUAUGACAUCACUAAGGGCCACCCGGCUGCUCCACCAUGGACGGACAAGGUGGGGAGGCAAGACCACGUCACAAGACCACAGGAUUCCAAAAGGGCACCACAGCGUUCGAGAAAUCAGUGCGUGGUUGGAAUUCCAUCCCAGCCAAAUCCUGGAGAAGCUGGCAUGGGGUUGUUGGGACCAAAGUGCAGGACCCGGCGCUUGGUGC
ensembl:lncRNA